CCCAAGGGUUCUGGAGACAGGGCUUCCCUUCCCCACGCUGGGCCAGACCCCGUGGAGCGAUCAGCUGCCCUCCCAGGGCUGAGACAUGGGGAGCUGGAGAGGAAGAGAGAGCGCCUGGCUGUUCCCGGAGAUGAGUCCACCCUUCCUCGUCUGUGCUGUGUGUCUCGAGCUCACACUCCCAGCCUCUCUGUUUCCAGGAUUAAAACCCUGCUCACAGCAAUGAAAACAUACGUCCAUGCAAAAACAUGUGCGCAAAUGUUCCUGACAGCCCUAAUCACAAUAGCCAAAACGUGGAAACCCAAAUGUCCAUCAGCUGACGAAUGAAUGAACAGAAUGUGGUCCUUCCAUACAAUGGAAUACUGUUCAGCCAUAAAAACAACAUGAGUGAAACUUGAAAAUAGUAUGCUAACUGAAAGAAGCCAGUCACAAAAGACCACAUGUUAUAGGAUUCCAUUCAUCUGAAAUGUCCAGAACAGCAGCUCUGCUGGGAGCUUUAUCCGCACCGUCCUUGGGGGCAGAUGCGCUACCUGCUUACUGUCUGGGAAGACUGAGGCUCAGAAAAGUGAAAAGACCUGUCCAACCACUACUUUUCAUUUAAGGUUCUAAUCAAAAGCCUUGCAUGAAUAUUGC